AGUGAACGCUGGCGGUAGGCCUAACACAUGCAAGUCGAACGGCAGCACAGUAGGAGCUUGCUCUUACGGGUGGCGAGUGGCGGACGGGUGAGGAAUACAUCGGAAUCUACUUUUUCGUGGGGGAUAACGUGGGGAAACUUACGCUAAUACCGCAUACGACCUACGGGUGAAAGCAGGGGAUCUUCGGACCUUGCGCGAUUGAAUGAGCCGAUGUCGGAUUAGCUAGUUGGCGGGGUAAAGGCCCACCAAGGCGACGAUCCGUAGCUGGUCUGAGAGGAUGAUCAGCCACACUGGAACUGAGACACGGUCCAGACUCCUACGGGAGGCAGCAGUGGGGAAUAUUGGACAAUGGGCGCAAGCCUGAUCCAGCCAUACCGCGUGGGUGAAGAAGGCCUUCGGGUUGUAAAGCCCUUUUGUUGGGAAAGAAAAGCAGCAGGUUAAUACCCCGCUGUUCUGACGGUACCCAAAGAAUAAGCACCGGCUAACUUCGUG
rnacentral:rRNA from 1 species